rnacentral:rRNA from 1 species
UUCCUUAGUAGCGGCGAGCGAACAGGAAAUAGCCCAGCACUGAAUCCCGCCGUUGUAACGGCGGCGGGAGAUGUGGUGUUCGGGAGGUUCCGCUUUCUUGUCGUCGUCCACUCCUGUCCAAGUUCGUCUUGAACGGGGCCCAUUUCCCAUAGAGGGUGCCAGGCCCGUAGCGACGGAGGACGGCGGCGAGAGGGACACUCCUCAGAGUCGGGUUGCUUGAGAGUGCAGCCCUAAGUGGGUGGUAAACUCCAUCUAAGGCUAAAUAUUACCGCGA